rnacentral:rRNA from 1 species
GAAGUAAAGUCGUAACAAGGUUUCGUAGUGACUGCGGAGGAUCAUUA